rnacentral:tRNA from 1 species
GCCGGGGUAGCCUAGCCAGGUAUGGCGACAGGCCUAGCUCCGCUAGGCCCGCUAAAGGUUGCUAACCUGUUGGCCCUUUGGGCCUCCUGGGUUCAAAUCCCAGCCCCGGCG